GACGUAGGGCGCAAGCGUUGUCCGGAUUUAUUGGGCGUAAAGAGCUCGUAGGCGGCUUGUCGCGUCGACUGUGAAAACCCGCGGUUCAACCGUGUGGUCUGCAGUCGAUACGGGCAGGCUAGAGUUCGGUAGGGGAGACUGGAAUUCCUGGUGUAGCGGUGAAAUGCGCUGAUAUCAGGAGGAACACCGGUGGCGAAGGCGGGUCUCUGGGCCGAUACUGACGCUGAGGAGCGAAAGCGUGGGGAGCGAACAGG
rnacentral:rRNA from 1 species